rnacentral:rRNA from 1 species
UCGAGAAUUUUUCACAAUGGGCGCAAGCCUGAUGGAGCGACGCCGCGUGGGGGAUGAAUGGCUUCGGCCCGUAAACCCCUGUCAUUUGCGAUCAACCGUUAUUAUUUAAAAGAUGAUGACCUGAUAGUAGCGAAAGAGGAAGGGACGGCUAACUCUGUGCCAGCAGCCGCGGUAAUACAGAGGUCCCAAGCGUUGUUCGGAUUCACUGGGCGUAAAGGGUGCGUAGGUGGCGGAGUAAGUCGGAUGUGAAAUCUCCGAGCUCAACUCGGAAAAGGCAUUGGAAACUACUUUGCUAGAGGAUUGGAGGGGGGACUGGAAUACUUGGUGUAGCAGUGAAAUGCGUAGAUAUCAAGUGGAACACCAGUGGCGAAGGCGAGUCCCUGGACAAUUCCUGACACUGAGGCACGAAAGCUAGGGGAGCAAACA